rnacentral:tRNA from 1 species
UCUCUGGCAGUCCAGUGGUUAGGACAUGGCACUUUCACUGCUGAGGGCUCAGGUUCAAUUCCUGGUCAGGGAA